ACGGAAGGCAGCAGUGAGGAAUAUUGGUCAAUGGGCGAGAGCCUGAACCAGCCAAGUCGCGUGAAGGAAGACGGCCCUAUGGGUUGUAAACUUCUUUUGUAUGGGAAUAAAGUUAGGGACGCGUCUCUAUUUGUAUGUACCAUACGAAUAAGGAUCGGCUAACUCCGUGCCAGCAGCCGCGGUAAUACGGAGGAUCCGAGUGUUAUCCGGAUUUAUUGGGUUUAAAGGGUGCGUAGGCGGGGGAUCAAGUCAGUGGUGAAAUGGUGCGGCUCAACCGUAGCAUUGCCGUUGAAACUGGUUCUCUUGAGUGCGAAUGAGGCAGGCGGAAUGUGUUGUGUAGCGGUGAAAUGCUUAGAUAUGACACAGAACACCGAUUGCGAAGGCAGCUUGCUGGGACGCAACUGACGCUGAGGCACGAAAGUGCGGGGAUCGAACAGGAUUAGAUACCCUGGUA
rnacentral:rRNA from 1 species